rnacentral:lncRNA from 1 species
CUCCUUUCAACCACCACAUUCCCCGCCGGCAGCCACAACCACCCAUUUCUUUGAAUUUUUCUGCUUCUAGUUACAGCUGCACAAGCUUUCUUUCUUUUAAACUGAUUUAGCAGUAUUCACACAUGUAAAUUCAUGCUUUUGGCAUUCUCUAUGAUUCCAAGAAUUCACAGAUGAAACCAGUUUCUAAAGUUUGGUUCUGCUGCUGCUGAGCCACGUUGCCCCACCCGUACCCAUCCCAUUGGAAAAUUUUGUUGCUUUAAGCUAAAUUAAUCAUAGAAGGGUACUUGUUUUAGCUAAAGUUCAUUGACUUUGCUCCGGGUUCCGUUGGUAAUGGGGAUUGAAGACUAAUUUUGAGAGAAUUUGUUGGAUUGGCUUGGCUAAGAUCAUGUAAGUUUCUAUAUACCCAGAAAUUUUGAAUUUACAAAUUUUGGUUUUGUGGAGCUUAAGGUUUCGAGAGAAAUUGGUGGUGGUGGCUACCGGUUGGUUUUGGUGGUUGGGAGGAGUGAUUUUGAUUUGGGGAAGAAGGAGAUGGGUUGUGGUUUUAUUUAUUUUUAUUUUUUUAAAUUUUUGAUGUAAUUGAAAAAAAUGUGUUUUAUCCAAAAUAUUCCUAUCUUAUGUGUUCAAAUUAUUAAAUUUUUAAUUUUUGGGGUCAACUGACGAUUUUUGGAGUCAAACUAAUGAAAAUUGUCAAUUUAGACUUGAGCUGCACAUUUUUAAAGGUUUGAUACUCACGGUGGUACAAACUAAAGGUUUGGUCAAAGUCUGCUAAUAAACGAAAGGUUUGGUACCUUGACUGCAAUUUUCCCAAUUUAAAAUCCACUAUGUAAAUCCUUCAUAUUUAAUUCUACAAUUUAGGAAAGAUCCAAAACAAAACGAC